GAUGAACGCUAGCGAUAGGCUUAACACAUGCAAGUCGAGGGGCAGCAUGAUCUUAGCUUGCUAAGGUCGAUGGCGACCGGCGCACGGGUGCGUAACGCGUAUGCAACUUGCCUUACAGAGGGGGAUAACCCGUUGAAAGACGGACUAAAACCGCAUACACUUGUAUUAUUGCAUGAUAUUACAAGGAAAUAUUUAUAGCUGUAAGAUAGGCAUGCGUCCCAUUAGCUGGUUGGUGAGGUAACGGCUCACCAAGGCGACGAUGGGUAGGGGAACUGAGAGGUUUAUCCCCCACACUGGUACUGAGACACGGACCAGACUCCUACGGGAGGCAGCAGUGAGGAAUAUUGGUCAAUGGGCGAGAGCCUGAACCAGCCAAGUCGCGUGAAGGAAGACAGUCCUAAGGAUUGUAAACUUCUUUUAUACGGGAAUAACGGGC
rnacentral:rRNA from 1 species